AUAAUCUCAGAUUAUCUGAUGCAUUUGAUGAAGGACAAGCAGCUCUUGAGCAGCCUGUCCAAAUUUUGCAGGAUCUUCACCACCUCCAGCAGCUGCUGGAGGAAGAAAUUAGCAGAGUACAGAAAGACAUGUACAAUGACACAUUAAAUGGCAGUCAAGAGAAAAGGAGGGCAGAAUUGCCUGAUGCUGUGGGACCUCUAGUUCAAUUACAAGAAAAUUGUAUGUACCUAUAAAAGAAUACCCAGAUUUUAAUUUUGUUGGGAGGAUCUUUGGAUCCAGAGGACUUACAGCUAACAGGUUGAAGCAGAAACUGGAUGUAAAAUAAUGGCCUGAUGCAAAGGCUCAAUGAGAAAAAGAAGGAGAAAAUAGAGCAAACCCAAUUGGGAGCAUCUAACUGAACAUUUACAUGUACUAAUCACUGUGGAAGAUGCUCAGAACAGAGCAGAAAUAAAACUGAAGAGGGCAGUUGAAGAAGUGGAGAAACUACUGGUACCUGCAGCAGAAGGGGAAAACAGCCUCAAGAAGAUGCA
rnacentral:lncRNA from 1 species